ACGGAUAACAUACCGAAAGGUAUGCUAAUACGGGAUAAUAUAUUUGAGAGGCAUCUCUUAAAUAUCAAAGGUGAGCCAGUACAGGAUGGACCCGCGUCUGAUUAGCUAGUUGGCAAGGUAACGGCUUACCAAGGCAACGAUCAGUAGCCGACCUGAGAGGGUGAUCGGCCACAUUGGAACUGAGACACGGUCCAAACUCCUACGGGAGGCAGCAGUGGGGAAUAUUGCACAAUGGGCGAAAGCCUGAUGCAGCAACGCCGCGUGAGUGAUGAAGGCCUUCGGGUCGUAAAACUCUGUCCUCAAGGAAGAUAAUGACGGUACUUGAGGAGGAAGCCCCGGCUAACUACGUGCCAGCAGCCGCGGUAAUACGUAGGGGGCUAGCGUUAUCCGGAUUUACUGGGCGUAAAGGGUGCGUAGGCGGUCUUUCAAGUCAGGAGUGAAAGGCUACGGCUCAACCGUAGUAAGCUCUUGAAACUGGGAGACUUGAGUGCAGGAGAGGAGAGUGGAAUUCCUAGUGUAGCGGUGAAAUGCGUAGAUAUUAGGAGGAACACCAGUUGCGAAGGCGGCUCUCUGGACUGUAACUGACGCUGAGGCACGAAAGCGUGGGGAGCAAACAGGAUUAGAUACCCUGGUAGUCCACGCUGUAAACGAUGAGUACGAGGUGUCGGGGGUUACCCCCUUCGGUGCCGCAG
rnacentral:rRNA from 1 species